rnacentral:rRNA from 1 species
GAUGAACGCUGGCGGCGUGCCUAACACAUGCAAGUCGAGCGAACAGACGAGGCUCUUGCUCCUCUGACGCUACCGGCGGACGGGUGAGUAAUACGUGGAUAACCUACAUAUAAGAAUGAGAUAACUUCGCGAAACCGGAUCUAAUACCGGAUAAUAUAUUGAACCUCAUGGAUCAUUAGAGAAAGCGGGAUUAGCUGACCCUAAUUGAUGUAACCAAGUCGCAUUAGUUAGUUCGUAAGGUAACGGCUUACCAAGGCAACGAUGCGUAGACGACCUGAGAGUGUGAUCAGCCACACUGGAACUGAGACACGGUCCAGACUCCUACGGGAGGCAGCAGUAGGGAAUAUUCCGCAAUGGGCGAAAGCUUGACGGAGCAACGCCGCGUGAGUGAUGAAGGUCUUCGGAUCGUAAAACUCUGUUAUUAGGGAAGAAGAAAAGUAUAAGUAACUAUGCACGUCUUGACGGUACCUAAUCAGAAAGCCACGGCUAACUACGUG